UCCGUAGGUGGAUAAUUAAGUCAGAGGUGAAAUCCUGCAGCUCAACUGUAGAAUUGCCUUUGAUACUGGUUAUCUUGAGUCAUUAUGAAGUGGUUAGAAUGUGUAGUGUAGCGGUGAAAUGCAUAGAUAUUACACAGAAUACCGAUUGCGAAGGCAGAUCACUAAUAAUGUACUGACACUGAGGGACGAAAGCGUGGGGAGCGAACAGGAUUAGAUACCCUGGUAGUCCC
rnacentral:rRNA from 1 species